UACGUAGGGGGCUAGCGUUGUCCGGAUUUAUUGGGCGUAAAGAGCGUGUAGGCGGCCAGGUAGGUCUGGUGUGAAAACUCGAGGCUUAACCUUGAGAUGUCAUCGGAAACCAUUUGGCUAGAGUCCGGAAGAGGAAAGUGGAAUUCCUGGUGUAGCGGUGAAAUGCGCAGAUAUCAGGAAGAACACCCGUGGCUAAGGCGGUUCUCUAGUACGGUACUGACGCUGAGACGCGAAAGCGUGGGGAGCGAACAGG
rnacentral:rRNA from 1 species